GGGCAGGAGCACACGAUCUCCGAGGUGCGAGGACCCUAUUGUUCUUCAAGGAGUUAUUAUUAUUUUAUUUUUGUAUUUACAUCUGAUGUCAGCCAAUUUAAGUUUAUAUUUUGGACAAAUAUUUAUUAAAAUUCCCCGGAUAAUGGAUCAUGAGACUCAUGUAUUAUGUACCCGAUCAAGUUACUUUGGUGGUGAACGAAAUUUUAAUAUUCGCCCUUAUUCUAUUGCUAUACCUUUUGAAUUAUUUUAUUUUUUUAUUUUUAACAUUAUCAAUUACGCAUUGUAAUUUUUGAAAAGUAAUGAUUGGAUUUGGAAGAAUUGGAUGCCUGAUAAGGCGUUUAAAAACAGUUCUGCAAGGGGUGGAGCUUGUCCGUGAACCCCAGUCUCUGUUGAAGGAUACAAGGAUACGUAAGUGCGCAUUACUGGUUGAAAAGAAAUUUGUAAGGGUGUGUUGCUUUGGUCCAAAAUGUGCUCCAAUAAUGACAUACUCUGACACAUUCGUUUUCACACCGUUUCCGAUUAACUCUUAUGAUAGCCACGGUUCAAAAGAUCCUAUGGGUGGGGCAUACAGAAGCUCACGUUCCAACCUGGACUGUCAAGUCCAAAAUAGCUCGACCACCCCUUCAGAUUCGGGCGCGUUCCAGACAAUAAACCAGACACAUCCGGUCCAAGAAGCAAUGGGUCCAUCGCAUCACCAGUUUCUUUAUGGACCUGUGAACUAUGAUGGAGUCCCGUCCAGGUUCCGCAGGUCAGCACGUGCCGCUUUGGCACUUCAGGUGGAAAGCAGAACACCACCUAUUUUACACUGGAAGCGGCAGUGCAAGCAAGCCAGCCUUUCGAUUUCUCCGCCUUUAGCAGACUCGUGACGGAUCUGGGCUCUCUGAAACUUACAGGUUUUUACAAAUAGUCAUUCUCCAGAACUAUGCUUUUUCCCUGGACUCAAACUCUUCUUAUUCAACAAAGACACGGACGAUAAUCGCCGCAUUCCUAUCACUCAGCCUGCCAACAUUUGCACAGUUUUUCUUUCUCCGCGCCGUCCUGUUUCGAAAAUGACAACAAGCCUGUUAGCCAUUAUUUAACGCUUCAUGGAACUACACGACAUGGCAGCUGCACCGACAGGACCACACCGAACAUCGCUCACGCAAACAGAGACGACACAAAGCCCAAUAAUUUCCAAUCAGAGAAAACACAUAAAGGAAACUCGCAAGACACGCUGCAGUGCGUUGUCAGUAAUUACAUUAUUUCCUGUCAUAAAAUGUCGGACACAGCCAGAAAACGCUGCGAGUGUCUGGCUUUCGGCAAAAGCGGGGAGGAAGAAGCGAUGUCCUUACCACAAACACCAAAACACAAAAUAGCUGGAAAAGGAAUUUCUAUUCAACAUGUACCUGACUCGCGAGCGCCGCCUGGAGAUAAGAUGGAGCGUAAAACUCACGGACGCCAGGUUAAAAUCUGGUUUCAGAAUCGUAGGAUGAAAAUGAGAAAUGUCCAGAGCACAGGACAAGGGACCUUGACACCAGUUUCACUCUCUGAAAUGAUCUGUAAGACGAUGUAAAAAAAAGCUAACUGUACAGUGGCUUAUCGUGUUGACACAGGCCGGCCCUGUAGUGUUUGUUUAUUUAUUGAUGGCUUUUAGGUUUUGUCCGAUUCUCCGAUUCUUUUAAAGACUUGCCGUUUUAUAUAUUUCGAUAUCUAACACAUAUUUAAAGCUGAUUGUUUGCAGGAUCUAAGCAUUAUUCAGCGGUUUUCAUUUUUAACAUUGGCAUAUUUUUAUAUUUAGGCUACAUAUAGUGUGACCGUCUUUUUCAUUUUAAGGCACGUUUACCAAGAAACAUGUUUUGAGUUGUACGCUUAAACAGAAAAUGAAUAUCUGUUCUUACUAAGGGUUUAUGCAUUUACUGAUAUAGUAUUAUUAUUAUUAUUAAAAUGUUUGCUUGGACUUUCUUGUACCUUCAGUGCAUACAACUCAAAUCAUGUUUCUGGGUCAAAAUAACUCAAAAUUAUGGAGCAUGUCACAUAUUAGGGUACAAUAGAUAUCCAAAAUUAACAAAUAUAUAUAAAUAUAUUUUAUGAGAGGGACAUUAUUUAAAUAAAGCAAGACAUUUACAUCAGGCCUCGGUACUGUUAUUUUGUCAGAAUUUGCACUGGAUUAGCGCAAAUGCACAAAUUUAUUAGAAAGGUACAGUCUAAAAAUUAUUAGUUGACUUUACUUUAAAAUGUAGGAAACCCGUUGCGUUUAAAAAUUCUGGUACAUAACAGUAUGAAAAUUGCUUGCUUAAACGCAAUGGGCUUCCUCAUUUUUUAAGUAAAGUCAACUAAUCAUUUUUAGAGUCUAUGCCGAUGUAGGCUACUUAGCCGAUUGAGAAACUUUUAAAUAUGUGUUGCUUAACAAACCAUGCUUUCUAAAUAAUAACAAUUCCAAUAUCCAAAGCCAAUGAGAAUACGAAUUUCAUAUAUUAUGUUCUAUAUCUGAAAAGUUUUAAUUGUAUGCGAAGCGUGUUUGUCAUAUGACUUUGCACGAAUAUGUUUUGAAUUGGAUCAUAGCCCUACUUAUUUUUCCAAUAUUGCUCUGCACAUGAAAGAAAUGCAGCAGAAAAAAACAGCACGCACUUUUUGUGAAAAACACAUUUAGAAAUUGCAAAGAACAUUUCCCAAGCUUUUCUCUCUGUUUACUAAUAAUUACUAUGAAGCAUGUUGUACGAAAUGAGUUUAUACAGGUAUCAUAAUUUUGGGAAAAUUUUAAAUAUAAUCUGAUAGACAGGAUAAUGGGAAAAGAUAAGGUUGUUUUACCAUAACAAUAAGAAAUGAUACUCUAAAAAGUCUUAACGCUAUAUUGUUGUAGCAAUAUAUGGUAUUUCAUAUUUAUUAAUUACAAUGUACAUUUUAACCAAUGAAAAAAUGGCAUGAAGUGCAGGUCAGUUGUAAGUAACGCUGAAGAAAUUAAAACAAUGAAGAAAUGAAGAAAUGAAUUAAAAUAUACAACGCUG